CAUUCGGUAAAUAAUGUGUAUCGAUAAAUUGAAUUGAAAUCAAUGAAGAAUCGUUAAGAUUAAUAUAAAUACGUGUAUAUAAACCGCAAAAAUAUUGUUUAUUAUUUAAUAAUGCAGAGAAAUAAUUGUUUUUUUGAUUAAAAUUGCUUUUCCAACGAAAUAUCAUCAAUUAUCGUUCAUAAAUCAAUUGAAAUAACCUCAACCUAUCAACUUUACUCUGACUUGCUCAUUUUGAACCUUCGAGAAUUUCUCGCAUCCAUGCAUUUCCAAAUAAUUCAAUAACAAGAUAUUCAAUGCGCUGUGAUGCCAUUCCGAGAAGCACUGCACAGGAAUAAUUUAAUUUUGAAGAUUUCCAUGCACAAUUGAUCAUUUAAUAAAAUGGAAACGUGUUGCAAUAGUCAUAUACUUACUGAGAAAAAAAGCAUACGAAGAAGAAUGACAAAUAAACUUUACAAAUGGUUUUUUCAUAAACAGUCCCAUUUGAGAAGUAGGUGAUACCAUGUAAAUAGAACUGUAAAUUGGAAACAUACUUCCAAGUUUGGCAACUUUUAUCAGCUGUCCAACCAUACUCAAUCGCCGGAAACCUGGUAGACCAUCAUACCAUAUCGCAGCAAGAAGUUGCUGAACGUUAGGAUGUGCUACAAACUAUUGAAACAAUAGAAAAAAAAUAUACAGAAUUACUCCAAGUUUGAGACGAUCUAAAGUUUGUCUUUCUCCUGGUUCCCAAUUGUCUCCUGUUGGAUUGUAAUUAAGAAUAAUUUCAAGUUCUUGGGAAGAGCGAGCAUGAUCCAACAAGGUAGUUGCAAACUCUUGACAUUGUUCU